UACGUAGGGCGCAAGCGUUGUCCGGAAUUAUUGGGCGUAAAGAGCUCGUAGGCGGUUUGUCGCGUCUGCUGUGAAAUCCCGAGGCUCAACCUCGGGUCUGCAGUGGGUACGGGCAGACUGGAGUGCGGUAGGGGAGAAUGGAAUUCCUGGUGUAGCGGUGGAAUGCGCAGAUAUCAGGAGGAACACCGGUGGCGAAGGCGGGUCUCUGGGCAGUAACUGACGCUGAGGAGCGAAAGCGUGGGGAGCGAACAGG
rnacentral:rRNA from 1 species